rnacentral:rRNA from 1 species
UGGGGAAUUUUGGACAAUGGGGGAAACCCUGAUCCAGCCAUCCCGCGUGUGCGCUGAAGGCCUUCGGGUUGUAAAGCACUUUUGGCAGGAAAGAAACGUCAUGGGUUAAUACCCCGUGAAACUGACGGUACCUGCAGAAUAAGCACCGGCUAACUACGUGCCAGCAGCCGCGGUAAUACGUAGGGUGCAAGCGUUAAUCGGAAUUACUGGGCGUAAAGCGUGCGCAGGCGGUUCGGAAAGAAAGAUGUGAAAUCCCAGAGCUCAACUUUGGAACUGCAUUUUUAACUACCGGGCUAGAGUGUGUCAGAGGGAGGUGGAAUUCCGCGUGUAGCAGUGAGAUGCGUAGAUAUGCGGAGGAACACCGAUGGCGAAGGCAGCCUCCUGGGAUAACACUGACGCUCAUGCACGAAAGCGUGGGGAGCAAACAGG